rnacentral:lncRNA from 1 species
UUUUCGGUUAGUAUUCCUUUUUUUUUCUCAUUCUUAACAUGUUAUGGUAAAUUUAUUUGUUUUCUUUUAUUUUGAUUAAGCAAAGUUAAAGAUGAAAAUCAUUUUGAUUGAGAAAUGAGAAUAGAGAUGAAAGUAAGGAAAUAAUUGAAAGAAACUUUUUAUUUUUACUUUUCUUUAAGAUACAAAGAGAGAGACUAUUUUUUCUCUGUGUUGUUUUG